UAUGGCCAAAACAUGUUGAAACACCGGUUCUCGUACGAUCACCGAAGUUAAGCAAUGUAGAGACUAGUCAGUAGAUGGGUGAUUGCUUGUGAGUUCCAGAUGCUGUACG